AUACCGUUAAUUCUGUCAGACUC
rnacentral:siRNA from 1 species